AUUGAACGCUGGCGGCAGGCCUAACACAUGCAAGUCGAACGAGUGGCGGACGGGUGAGUAAUGUCUGGGAAACUGCCCGAUGGAGGGGGAUAACUACUGGAAACGGUAGCUAAUACCGCAUACCAUCGGAUGUGCCCAGAUGGGAUUCGCUGGUAGGUGAGGGAACGGCUCACCUAGGCUACGAUCCCUAGCUGGUCUGAGAGGAUGGACAGCCACACUGGAACUUAGACACGGUCCAGACUCCUACGGGAGGCAGCAGUGGGGAAUAUUGCACAAUGGGCGCAAGCCUGAUGCAGCCAUGCCGCGUGGAUGAAGAAGGCCUUCGGGUUGUAAAUUUCUUUCAGCUGGGAGGCGUUACCGGCAGAAGAAGCACCGGCUAACUCCGUGCCAGCAGCCGCGGUAAUAC
rnacentral:rRNA from 1 species